UUAAGCAAGAUGUGAAAGCCCCGGGCUCAACCUGGGAAUUGCAUUUUGAACUGGCAUGCUAGAGUCCUGAAGAGGGUGGUAGAAUUUCCAGUGUAGCGGUGAAAUGCGUAGAUAUUGGAAGGAAUACCGGUGGCGAAGGCGGCCACCUGGUCAGAGACUGACGCUGAGGUACGAAAGCGUGGGGGGCAAACAGGAUUAGAUACCCUGGUAGUCCACGCCGUAAACGAUGUCAACUAGUUGUUCGUGUCAUUAAGACGUGAGUAACGCAGCUAACGCACUAAGUUGACCGCCUGGGGAGUACGGCCGCAAGGUUAAAACUCAAAUGAAUUGACGGGGGCCCGCACAAGCGGUGGAGCAUGUGGUUUAAUUCGUUGCAACGCGAAGAACCUUACCAUCCCUUGACAUCCAGUGAAUUUUCCAGAGAUGGAUUAGUGCCUUCGGGAACACUGAGACAGGUGCUGCAUGGCUGUCGUCAGCUCGUGUUGUGAGAUGUUGGGUUAAGUCCCGCAACGAGCGCAACCCUUAUCCUUAGUUGCCAGCACGUAAUGGUGGGAACUCUGGGGAGACUGCCGGUGAUAAACCGGAGGAAGGUGGGGACGACGUCAAGUCAUCAUGGCCCUUACGGGAUGGGCUACACACGUGCUACAAUGGCGCAUACAAAGGGCAGCAAGCCAGCGAUGGUUAGCGAAUCUCAUAAAGUGCGUCGUAGUCCGGAUCGGAGUCUGCAACUCGACUCCGUGAAGUCGGAA
rnacentral:rRNA from 1 species